AGGAUAAACGCUGGCGGCGUGCCUAACACAUGCAAGUCGAACGUCUCUUCUUUCGGGAAGAGGAGUGGCGGACGGGUGAGGAACACAUGGGUACCUGCCUUUCAGUGAGGAAUACCGGCGAGAAAUCGCCGACAAGACCGCAUAGGCUUCCUUCGGUAGCCCGAGGGAAGCAAAGUUCCGCCGCAAGGAGGGACGCUGGAAGAGGGGCCUGUGGCCGAUUAGCUAGUUGGCGGGGUAAUGGCCCACCAAGACGAUGAUCUGUA
rnacentral:rRNA from 1 species